rnacentral:rRNA from 1 species
AGGGUUUGAUCAUGGCUCAGGACGAACGCUGGCGGCGCGCCUAACACAUGCAAGUCGAACGGAGCUGAGAGAAGCUUGCUUUUCUUAGCUUAGUGGCGAACGGGUGAGUAACGCGUGGGUAACCUGCCUUGUACUGGGGGACAACAGUUGGAAACGACUGCUAAUACCGCAUAAGCGCACAGCUUCGCAUGAAGCAGUGUGAAAAACUCCGGUGGUACAAGAUGGACCCGCGUCUGAUUAGCUGGUUGGUGAGGUAACGGCCCACCAAGGCAACGAUCAGUAGCCGGCCUGAGAGGGUGAACGGCCACAUUGGGACUGAGACACGGCCCAA